rnacentral:lncRNA from 1 species
CGCUCCAUAAGCUGUUGGUGAACAUACCAUGAGACAGAGAGAGAGCGAGACAGAAAGCGCUCACCAGCCCUUCCUCCUCACUUUCCCACCAUGGAAUAGCUAACCUUGCCCCCACCCACACCUCCAUCACCUCUCAGCGUCCUGCAAUUAUUUUGACCCUCUCUCUGGUCUUUUUGGAAGGAAGCUUCUGUCACUUCUUAACACCACCUGCCUGGAAACACACACAGAGGCAAAACCCCCCAAGCCCUCUUGUGAAGGAAGAAGUCCUUUUUUUUUAAACCUCUUUUUGUUUGCCCUGACUCCAGAGCGUCAGACUCCAGCCUGAGCAGCCACAAUUUCUUACCAUGUAUUCUGCUUUUAAACCAUCUCCUUCCUGCACACGCUCAGUCCUUGCAGGCACGGAUCUAACACAACUCCCCGCUUCUCGCCGGCAGGUUCUUUGCUCCCCAUCACUCAGCUGAUCCUGAUCUUUUUUUCUCCUAUUCUCCCCACCCCGGGCACCGAGGUGUGUGUGUGUCUGCGUGUGAGCGUGCCUGUGUGCAAGGAGGGGAGGUGGGGGGGGGCCCUUUUUUUUUUUUUUUUUUUUUCUCCUUCGUGGGGGUAUUUUUUCAAAGCAUCUUCAUUAUUGUUUUAUUUUGCUUCUCUGACUUGGAGACUUCUCCCUGGGAGAUUUCUUUUCCAUGCAAAGGGGUUCUCACUUGUGGCUGGCAUGGCAGAGUACGUUCCCCAGCCUCCCUCCACCUGGCCUGCAGGCCCACAGCCCCCUCACACUUCUGCCAUCUGCCCACUGGAGCCUGUGGAUCUGGGGAUCUCGGAGCAACAAACACCACCGGAGCAGCCACCGUCCUCCCUGGAGCUGGGGGAGGAUGAAGAAGUCACCUCCCCUCCAGACCCUGAUGUCCCCUACCCAGACUUGGCUCCAGUUGUCUUCUUCUGCUUGAAGCAGACUACCAGCCCACGGAGCUGGUGCAUCAAAAUGGUGUGCAACCCAUAUCCUUUCUGAGCUGCCCCUUCUCCCUCCCUGCCUCUGGCUCCCUCCUGCCCUGUUCUCCCCUCAUCCUGCCCUUCUGGGGUGCCUUGCAGGUAAGGAAUAACUUUUAUUACACAUUUAACGACCUUCUUUGUUC